GACGAACGCUGGCGGCGUGCUUAACACAUGCAAGUCGAACGAAGAGCGAUGGAAGCUUGCUUCUAUCAAUCUUAGUGGCGAACGGGUGAGUAACGCGUAAUCAACCUGCCCUUCAGAGGGGGACAACAGUUGGAAACGACUGCUAAUACCGCAUACGAUCUAACCUCGGCAUCGAGGAAAGAUGAAAGGUGGCCUCUAUGUAUAAGCUAUCACUGAAGGAGGGGAUUGCGUCUGAUUAGCUAGUUGGAGGGGUAACGGCCCACCAAGGCGAUGAUCAGUAGCCGGUCUGAGAGGAUGAACGGCCACAUUGGGACUGAGACACGGCCCAGACUCCUACGGGAGGCAGCAGUGGGGAAUCUUCCGCAAUGGACGAAAGUCUGACGGAGCAACGCCGCGUGAGUGAUGACGGCCCUCGGGUUGUAAAGCUCUGUUAAUCGGGACGAAAGGCCUUCUUGCGAAUAGUGAGAAGGAUUGACGGUACCGGAAUAGAAAGCCACGGCUAACUACGUG
rnacentral:rRNA from 1 species